UACAGAGGUGGCAAGCGUUGUUCAGAAUUACUGGGCGUAAAGGGCGCGUAGGCGGUUCGUUAAGUCCUGUGUGAAAUCCCCCGGCUCAACUGGGGAACUGCACAGGAAACUAGCGGGCUUGAGUUCGGGAGAGGGAAGCGGAAUUCCGGGUGUAGCGGUGAAAUGCGUAGAUAUCCGGAGGAACACCGGUGGCGAAGGCGGCUUCCUGGACCGACACUGACGCUGAGGCGCGAAAGCUAGGGGAGCAAACGGG
rnacentral:rRNA from 1 species